CCCCCGGGGAAACACCCCGUGUGCUCUCAGUGACAACAGGGUGACCAACAUUUUUCUGAAUCCAACCUAUUUCUUCAGUAUCUUGGAGUUUGAGGUGGAACACCACUUCCUCCCUGGGACAGGUGCACACAGCCUGUCUCCCUCUGGGACGGAAACAGGAGAGGCCCCACCCCCACCCAGCCCAGCCACCGCCCAGGCCCGCAGGCAUCAGAGCUGCUGGGGCGUCAGAGCUGCAGGGGGGCGUCAGAGCUGCCGGGGCGUCAGAGCUGCGGGGGGCGUCAGAGCUGCCGGGGCACCCGGGAGGACACGGUGGCCAUUGCUGGUCCCCAAACACGGGGAUGGCGGCAGGAUGGGCUCCGGCGGCUCCUUUGCCCGCGGCUCACACGGGAGGCCACGCUCCAGGGCCAGAGCCCAGUCCCCCCGCCCCCUGCCCGGCCCCACCCGGCCCCACGCAGCCCGGGCUUGGCAUUCGCCUGGCUCAGCUGUGACCCCGCUUCAUUCGUGGGAAAAGGCUACGCCAGGAUCUCCGUGUGCCCGGGGCCUCGGGACCACGGCCCGCGCUGUCUGCCUCCGGCUGGCCGGCGUGAGCGGCUGGGCCCACCUGCUCAGGCGGCAGCGCUGCCUCCCCGGCUCCCAGAGCACCGGCCAGGCCUGCACGUGAGCUCGGUCCCGUGAUCUCCCGCCGCCGCCCGUCUCUCCCUGAGGCCGGCAGCAGGCAUCUGACCCGCUGACCCUCACCGUGCCAGCCCCCAGCCCGCGAGAAGCGCCCUGCCUGGCGUGAGGUGAGAGGCUCCGGGGAGGAUGCUCGUGGUCAGGGAGCCUCCAGCCCACACCGGGGAGAGUGACGACCCCCGGGGACGCUGAGCUCCGGCAGCUGGGGACAGGGCAGGGCCGCUCCGGGACCCUUAACCUGGGAUGGAGCCGCCACCCCCAGGCCGAGAAGCCAGAAACCCCUUCGCCAAGAGGCGGCCGCCCAGCGCUGACCAGACACCCACCCGCCUCCUCUCGUGGCUGCGGCCCCGCCCAGCCAGAGGGCCGGGUCCCCAGAGCACCCCCAGGAUGGCAGGCACCCGCCUCCAUGCCCAGCACCUGCCAGCCUCUGCCCUGGAUGGCGCCCCCGCCCAGUGCGCCCCUCUGAGCCCUCCACCCUGGCGAAACCCCCAGGCCCCCGAGAAGGAUGGAGACGGGUCCCCGCGAGGUCUGGGGGUGCCCGCGGCACACCUACCGUGACGAGCUGCUGCACCGAGUCGCUGACGUACAGCAUGUUCUGUCAACUGCCCGCAUCCAACAACAAAACGGCGCCCACCCCUUACUCCUCAUGACUAUUCAUCGGCCCAGGCAGGCCUCGGCUUGCCCACUGCUGAGCUGGACCGCACCACGGAGGCCGCAGGAGGGGCGGCGCCGGGCCAGCGCCGGGCUCAUAAUGAAGCCACACCUGCUCCCUCUGAGAUGCCGCCCACCGGGGGCCCUGAGGGGCACGAGCUGCACCCCUGAGCACAAGGGACUGGGCCUGCCUAAGCCUGCACCUCUUGCUAAGCGAGUCCCACAAUUGGGGGACCCAGAGCACCCCACCCAGGCACCUGGACACGGUGGGCAGAGAUUGGCCCAGCGGUUCCCUGACGUGGGAAGCCCACCCUCUUCGCUCCGGGCUGGGACAGGCGUGUCCUCCCCGUGUCCUCCCCAUGCCCUCCCCGCCCCAGGCCGGACACGCUCAGCAGCUCAGCAGUGGGGGCACCGCUGGAACCUAGAGUGGCCCCUCCGCCUCCAUCGCGGGCCCUCCCAGCUCCGGGCUGUGGGUCUCCCGGCCUCUGCCCUCGGGGCUCCCUGCUGGCGGUCACCACGUCAUCACAAGACCCGUCAUCACAAGACCCGAGGGCCAGGCCGGCCCGCAGCAACACUGGCUCCUGAAGCGGCAAUGUCUGCGGGUCUCGCUGCAGCCGACGGCAUCCCUACCAAGGAGCCCAGGCUCCCAGGACAGGACAGUCCACACUCACUGCCCACCCUCUGCUGGCGGCCACCCCACUCACCAUGACGGACGAGGCGGCCAUGCCUGGCAGGUGGAAGUCCAUGCCGGCCUCUGUGCCACACGCCCCCUCGCUGCUGCCCUGGCUCGCCUGGGGCAGGUCAAAGCUCGCCCCCAGGACUGCCACGUGCUGGGCAGCGAGUCCCAGGACCAGGGGCACAGCCCUGAGCUCACCCCGGGACCAGGCAGGGCACGGGGCAGGGAGGCCUGGGGACUAAGAUGGGCUCGGUGAGGACAGCCGGCCUGGGACACGCAGCUCAGAAAGUGCCGGCCACAAGCUCACUCUGCUGCAGGCUCAGAGAGGCCCCUGCAUCUUGCCAAUGGACCCUCUAAGUCCAGAGACGGAAAACAACUUAGGGAACGUCACACAGCGCGUGGACCCCGCAUCCCACCUCCCAUCCCGGUCCCACUGUUCAGAAUAAGCCGGAACAGCCCAAGCGUGCACCAGCCGACGGGUGGGUCACCAGGUUGCGGCGGGUCCACACUGCGGACGAUUGCUCGGCCACGAAGGGGGACAAAGCGCCCACACCCGCCGCACGGCCGGUGCUGCUCAGCGAGAGGAGCCGGACACCCACGGCCGCCUGGCCUGGCCUCCGCCGACCGGAGUGUCCAGGGCGGGCACAGCCGCGGGCACGGGAGGGGCUGGGGACAGAGAGAUGGGGAGUGACUGCUCGUGGGCAUGGGGUCUCCUGUGGGCUGAUGAGAAUGUUCUGGAACUGGACCGAGGUGGUGGCCACACAGCACGGUGAAGGUGCUGCAUGUCACUGACGGGGUCACCCGAAAAGGGUUCAUGUCAGAUGAUGUGACUUCCAGCACAGGAAAAACACGCUUUUAAUUUUAAACAGCGAGAGCCUGGGGCUGGGCCGGCGGGGCUCAGUGGGUGAGCUUCGACCUACGGACCAGGAGGUCAGGGUUUGAUUCCCGGUCGGGGCACUGCCUGGGUUGGGAGCUUGAUCCCCAGUGUGGGGCGUGCA